rnacentral:lncRNA from 1 species
UUCUCCAAACACUGGAAACUCUCUGAUGCGUCCUUCUGACUGCAGGACAGGAAUCAUUGAUAAUAUAUUCAAAAACUUAACUGCCCAAGCAUCUUCUUUAGUGGUGGUGGGGACAGUCACAAGAUCAUGAACUUCUAGUUCUCUAGCUAGGUGGAUGCUGGCACCGGUGUCCAAAACAGCUGCCUUCUCAGGAGCCAAGAAACCAGGAAGCUCCUUCCCAUAUACCAUUUGCUGUUCACACCAGUCUUGAGUAGACAAGUCAGUGACAUACAAAUAUUUAAGGUGGAAUCGCUCCAUAGGUGAUGAGACAUCCAAUCCUCUUUUCCAUUUUGGUAAGCUUGUGAGCUUGUCAUCCUUCCCAGGGAGUUCAGAAGAAGGACCAGGCUUGCUAAGUGAUGCACUUGACUCCUGAGUAUCUUCCAGGUCCAGAUACUCUAGCAACUCUGAGUCACUCAAGUCUGAGAACCCUGAGGCCUCUACUGACCCCGUCUCCUCUUCCCCAUUCUCUGCCAUGGCACAAGGCCCUGCAAUAUAGUGUUAAAGAAAUGUAUUAUCCAAAUAACAAAUUUAUCCAAAGCACUUUCAAAUUCUAAUAAGGUAAAAAGAA